rnacentral:rRNA from 1 species
UACGUAGGUGGCUAGCGUUGUCCGGAUUUACUGGGCGUAAAGCGCGCGCAGGCGGUCGUUCAAGUCGAGUGUGAAAGCCCCCGGCUCAACUGGGGAGGGUCACUUGAUACUGAUCGACUUGAAGGCAGAAGAGGGAAGCGGAAUUCCCGGUGUAGUGGUGAAAUGCGUAGAUAUCGGGAGGAACACCAGUGGCGAAGGCGGCUUUCUGGUCUGUUCUUGACGCUGAGGCGCGAAAGCUAGGGUAGCAAACGGG